rnacentral:rRNA from 1 species
CUUUCCGCCAGAGGACUACAAGUGAAAAACUCGAAACUCAAAGGACUUGGCGGUGUCCCACAUCGGCCUAGAGGAGCCUGUCCUAUAAUCGAUACUCCCCGUUCCACCCAACCCCCACUAGCAUCCAACAGCCUAUAUACCGCCGUCGACAGUCUACCCCAUGAGGGUUUAAUAGUAGACAAAACAGCAUGCCCGCUAACACGUCAGGUCAAGGUGUAGCAAAUGUGGCGGAAGAGAUUGGCUACAUUUUUUAUUUUAAAAAAUACAAAAGGCACUAUGAAACACUGCAUGAAGGUGAAUUUAGUAGUAAAAUAGAUAAGAGUGUCU